UGAUGCAGCCAUGCCGCGUGUAUGAAGAAGGCCUUCGGGUUGUAAAGUACUUUCAGCGGGGAGGAAGGGAGUAAAGUUAAUACCUUUACUCAUUGACGUUACCCGCAGAAGAAGCACCGGCUAACUCCGUGCCAGCAGCCGCGGUAAUACGGAGGGUGCAAGCGUUAAUCGGAAUUACUGGGCGUAAAGCGCACGCAGGCGGUUUGUUAAGUCAGAUGUGAAAUCCCCGGGCUCAACCUGGGAACUGCAUCUGAUACUGGCAAGCUUGAGUCUCGUAGAGGGGGGUAGAAUUCCAGGUGUAGCGGUGAAAUGCGUAGAGAUCUGGAGGAAUACC
rnacentral:rRNA from 1 species